UUCAACAAGACGUCUUAAUGUCAACGAGCUGGUGCGGUUUUGGGAACACGGAUGUGAAGCAUAUUUAUAUCUUUAGUGAAGUGACUCCAGAGAGAAAAAAGCGUCAUAAAAACGCUCAGGAUAUAGUUUCUUUCUAAAAAAUUGCACGUUUUCCACUGCUAUUAGAUUUUUUUUUAUCGAUUAAUCACAAGAAAAAGCAAAAUUUUAUUAUUAAUCAGUACUUCAACAAUAUGUAUUAGCUCAAAUCGAUUGAUAAUUGAUGACACAAAAUAAUAAUGUAAAGCGAAUGUAAAAGCUAUAGUCUAAAUUCAUUUGUACAUCUUUUAGAAGCAAUUCGGUUUAGUAUUAUAAUCAAAAUGAUGAAAAUAAUAUUUGGUGGUUUAUUUUGGAAUCCCCUUUUCGCCUUUCAAUAUAAUGAGCCUUAAUAUUCAAUUUAAUUUUAUGAGAAAACAUAAUGGUUUUGAAAUUAGCACGAAGGAGAACGCAUUUAUUUUGAAAAAAUAAAUCUUCAAUAAAAUUGUAGCUUUUUGAGACAAAUAUGCUAAGUAUUUUGCUAAUUACAGCAUAACUUGAAGUAAAAAUAAGGCUUAUGCUAUGCACAGGUGUGUACACGAAAUUAACGCACAAAAAUGGGCAUAGUUUUCAAAAUAUUAUUAGUAUUGAUUAAAAUAAAGUAUCAUAUAAAGUAUACCACGUAUUUGCUAUUCGAUUUAGAAAAAAAAAAUCAUUCAUUCAAGUUAUUCGCAAACCGGGUGAAAAUAGUUAAGUUUUUCUAUAAUGUAGCAAAUAUUCGACGUGAAUCACGCACGGCAAUUAUUGUGUAUAGCAUGGAUAUAGCCAUAGAUGUUUACAAGAAUCGCUUGACAGUUGAAUCAUAUUUGACGUAAUCGCCACCAAGCAGAGGCACAACAAAAUUGCAGGUUUACUUCCAGCAUUUCGCUUACAUCGAAAACUUUUUAUCGUUUUCAUAAUUAAUUUUAGUUAUAGUUGAAAGAUUUAGAAAGCCUUACAAGAAACAAAUAAUACAUCAUGAAGCAUGAUUUCAUCAAAAGUCAACAGUUACAGUGCGAGAUCAAAGCGUACGCAACGCCGAACCUUGAUGGAAACUCUGAAAACAAGUAUUGUGAGCGAUGUAAAAGUCAGAUUCCUAUAAAUUAGAAAAAAAAUAACUUGAUGCAUCAUAUUGGAAUAGAUGGAAUGUUUUCGAAAGUUAAAGUUUAAAGUUAAACCCGCGAAAGGUAAUCUUUACUUUAACCAAGAUGUACAUUAUCUAUUCGAUAACUGUUUACAAUAUUCCACCGUAGAUUUGAAACAUUGCUAGAAGUGUUCCAUUCUAGCAUUCCAUUGCAUUCCAAAUGUUCAAUGGAAACGAAAAUUUAAAGGGGAAAUCAUUAAAUAUAGCAUACUAUUCAAAUAGUGGAACUCCUCAUGACUCCUCGUUUUUUUACAUAACAAGCAUAUCUAAAUACUCAACAAAUGCCUUUCUCAACGAGUAAAAUCUCACAUAACCAGCAAUAUCGUCCUGAUACACUUGUUUGGUGCCGAUGUCAAGUCAAGAUCAUUAAAGUUUGAGCUUUCCGUUAUUUUUGCUUAUCGCUCAGGUAGAUACGAGUUUUGAUACUACGAAUCGUUUCAAGAAUAAUUUAAAGCGAUUUCCAGGAAGAGAAGUGUUGUAUAAUUGCGUGUGGUAUAAGUGCGUGGUAUAUUGAUGAGUGUUUCUAGCAGGCAUUUUCAAUGAAUCAUGCAAUGCAGGCAAUGAAAUCAUUUUCACAAAGGAAAAAGUCUAACCGUACAUAUCUAACACCUGAACAAUAAACUCUGUAUACACUCCGAUGAAAAUCCGUUUAACCAUGCUAUUUUUCAGCAGUGAUUGCAAACUGUUUCCUCAUAUUCGGAUGAGGCUGAGGCUCUAGAAGAUGACUUGGAAGAAGCAAUGGAAUUUGUCAUAUUCUGGAAAUAUUAAAAAAUGAGUCUAAAACAAUACACCGUAAGUGUUCUAAGAAAAUUUAUGAAUAAUAAUGAUAAGGAAAUAGAAAACCACAAA